GCCCGGGUGGCCCAAUCGGUAUAGGCGGGCGGCCUUAAAAGCCGCUGCUCGCAAGAGCGUGCGGGUUCGAAUCCCGCCCCGGGCA
rnacentral:tRNA from 1 species